GACGAACGCUGGCGGCGUGCUUAACACAUGCAAGUCGAACGGAAAGGCCCUGCUUUUGUGGGGUGCUCGAGUGGCGAACGGGUGAGUAACACGUGAGUAACCUGCCCUUGACUUUGGGAUAACUUCAGGAAACUGGGGCUAAUACCGGAUAGGAGCUCCUGCUGCAUGGUGGGGGUUGGAAAGUUUCGGCGGUUGGGGAUGGACUCGCGGCUUAUCAGCUUGUUGGUGGGGUAGUGGCUUACCAAGGCUUUGACGGGUAGCCGGCCUGAGAGGGUGACCGGCCACAUUGGGACUGAGAUACGGCCCAGACUCCUACGGGAGGCAGCAGUGGGGAAUAUUGCACAAUGGGCGGAAGCCUGAUGCAGCAACGCCGCGUGCGGGAUGACGGCCUUCGGGUUGUAAACCGCUUUCGCCUGUGACGAAGCGUGAGUGACGGUAAUGGGUAAAGGAGCACCGGCGAACUACGU
rnacentral:rRNA from 1 species